CCUUCACCCCAAGUCCGGGGGGUAGGGACCCCUGGUUGUAGUCUCUGGAGUCAGGUCCUUGGAGGAAUUCCUCACUGAACUAUGUUUUGGACCUUUUAUUUUUCUCUAUAACCACCAGCUGAAGAAGAUUGUCUUAGACACAUGGAAGCUGAGGACGCCUACUGUCCCCUCGGAACCCAGGUGGGGCUGGGAGUCUGCUGUUUGUAUAGCCGGUGGGCUCGUGUUGCUUUGGGCAUCCCUGUGUCUGAAUUCCUGCAGUACACUCGGUGGUUUUACCUGAACCACCAGCUUCUGCAUCUCUGAAGACAGAUGAUGAGGACCCUUCACGUAAGCCGUUCGCACAGCCCUCUGCAGGCCUUUGUGCUGCACGGUCUGCCCGGCGAGAUAACUGAGUGCAUUCCAUGGUGCAUCCUCGCCUAGAAUUGAGUGGAAGCAAGUCCAUCUCAGAAGGGACAUAACUGAAGAGGGAUGGCUUUCCAGACUCUGAUGGGCAGAGAGAGCAGCAGCCUGGCAUCUCUGAGCCCGCCCUUGGUGACCUCAGAGAGAUCACCCUAGUGGCCCAGGCUAGUGACCGGGAACAUGUACCUUCCUGCAGCCAACCCCAGACGUCCACUGAUGCAUCAUAUACUGGCAAAGAUGUGAGUUCCUGUGCAUUGGUCUAACAGCAGAGACUCUGCCACAGGCCCAAGAGGUGGUGUGUGGGACAUGCAGGGGUGCAGGAGUGUAGGCAGUGCAAAAGUGUAACUGGUGACAGGGGUGCAGGGGCUGUGGAGGGCGCAGGAAGUUUAGGGGAUGCGGGGGUGCAGGGGUGCAGAAGUGCAGGCAGUGCAGAAGUGCAGAUAGUGGCAGGGGUGCAGAGGUGCAGGGAGUGUAGGGAUGCAGGGAGGUGCUCAUUCACGUGGCCAGGAUUAGAAGGCAAGUGCACAUCCUCGCAGUCAGCCUGACCCCGGGAGGCUAGUGCAAUCGUUUGGGGCGGCGGAGGCGGCGGUGCGUGGGAGGCUGCCAGGGCAAGCCGGUCGAUUUCUUCUCUUCCCUGCAGCUUGGCCUAGGGGGGCCUUGGCCGCUGGAGAUUCGCCAGAUGUUGGACUCCAGGUAAGCUUGCUCCUGGGAGGUGGGGCGGUUAGGUCAGGGGGCAGCGGCAGC